rnacentral:SRP_RNA from 1 species
UCUUGCCAAGCCGGACGGCGGCAGCACUGCCAACCCCGUCAGGUCCGAAAGGAAGCAGCGGCAACAGACGUUGCCGGGUGUCCGGCCCACAAAAAACC